GCGCGGGAGGGCUGUGUGAUGGCCUCGGAGCGCCCGGAGCCGGAGGUGGAAGAAGCUGGGCAGGUGUUCCUGUUAAUGAAAAAGGAUUAUCGAAUCUCCCGAAAUGUUCGCCUGGCUUGGUUCCUCAGUCAUCUGCACCAAACUGUGCAGGCCACACCCCAGGAGAUGCUGCUUCAGUCUGAACAGGAAUUGGAAGUCCUCAGUGUCCUGCCCCCUGGGUGGCAGCCAGAUGAACCAGUGGUCCCAAGGCCAUUCCUCCUGGUACCUUCCACCCGGGUCACCUUCUUGGCUUGGCAGUAUCGGUUUGUCAUUGAGCUGGACCUUAGCCCAUCUACUGGCAUUGUGGAUGAUUCCACAGGGGAGAUCUUGUUUGAUGAAGUUUUCCAUGCCCUGUCCCGCUGCCUAGGCGGGCUGCUUCGGCCCUUCCGAGUGCCUGGAUCUUGCAUCGACUUCCAGCCUGAGAUCUAUGUAACUAUCCAGGCCUACUCCUCCAUCAUUGGACUGCAGUCCCACCAGAUGAUAUGAUCUUUUAUUUGGAAAAACCUAAUGGCUCCACCAAAAAACUAUUAGAACUGAUAAACAAAUUCAAUAAAGUUGCAAGAUACAAAAUCAACAUACAGAAAAUCAGUAGCAUUUCUGUAUGUCAGCAGCAGACAAUGUGAAGAAGAAAUCAAGAAAGUAAUCCCAUUUACGAUAGUUUAAAAUAAAAUACCUAGGAAUUAACUUAACCAAAGAAGUGAAAGGUCUCUACAAUGAAAACUAUAAAACAUCGAUGAGAGAAAUUGAAGUGGACUCCAAAAAUUGGAAUGAUAUUCCAUGUUCAUGGAUUGGAAGAAUCAGUAUUGUUAAAAUGCCCACACUGCCUAAAGCAGUCUACAGAUUCAGUACAAUUCCUAUCAAAAUACCAAUGACAUUCUUCAUAGAAAUAGAGAAAACAAUCCUAAAAUUUAUAUGGAACCACAAAAGACCCAGAAUAGCCAAAGCUAUUCUGAGCAAAACAAACAAAACUGGAGGAAUCACAUUACCUGACUUCAGAUUAUACUACAAAGCUAUAGUAACCAAAAACAGCAUGGUACUUGCAUAAAAACAGACACAUAGACCAAUGGAACAGAAUAGAGAACCCAGAAGCCAUAUAUCUACAAUGAACUCAUUUUUGACAAAGAUGCCAAGAACAUACAUUGGGGAAAGAACAGUCUCUUCAGUAAAUGGUUCUGGGAAGACUGGAUAUUCAUAUGCAGAAGAAUGAAACUAGACUCCUAUCUCACAAAAAUCAAAUCAAAAUGGAUUAAAGACUUAAAUCUGGCCGGGCGCAGUGGCUCACACCUGUAAUCCCAACACUUUGGGAGGCCAAGGCAGGUGGAUCACGAGGUCAGGAGUUCAAGACCAGCCUGGCCAAGAUGGUGAAACCCCAUCUCUACUAAAAAACUACAAAAAAACUAGCCGGGUGCAGUGGCAGGUGCCUGUAAUCUCAGCUACUCGGGAGGCUGAGGCAGGAGAAUCUCUUGAACCUGGGCAGCAGAGGUUGCAGUGAGCCAAGAUCGCGCCACUGCACUCCAGCCUGGCCGACAGAGUAAGACUCUGUCUCAAAACAAACAAACAAAAA
rnacentral:sRNA from 1 species